rnacentral:ncRNA from 1 species
UGGCCUUUUUAUUAGUUGUCUGCAGAAUUAUACAUGCAAAAAUCCCUAUACCGGUGAGAAUGCCCUCUAUGUUUCAUUGCAAUCAAGAGGAGUUGGCAUCAAGCACACUAAAGAGUAGCUCAUAACGCCUUGCUUCGCCACACCCCCACGGGAGACAGCAGUAAUAAAAUUUAAGCUAUGAACGAAAGUUUGACUAAGUCAUGCAGCCACUAGGGUUGGUAAAUCUCGUGCCAGCCACCGCGGUCAUACGAUUAACCCAAAUUAAUAAAACCCGGCGUAAAAAGUGUUUUAGAAAUAUAGUAAAUAAGAUUAAACUCCAUCUAAGUUGUAAAAAACUAUAGACAAAGUAUAAAUCAAAAACGAAAGUAAUCUUACCAUGUCUGAACACACGAAAGCUAAGACCCAAACUGGGAUUAGAUACCCCACUAUGCUUAGCCAUAAACAUAAAAGACUAUGUAACAAAGACUUUCGCCUGAGAACUACUAGCAACAGCUUAAAACUCAAAGGACUUGGCGGUGCUUUAUACCCACCUAGAGGAGCCUGUUCUAUAAUCGAUAAACCCCGAUAUACCUCACCACCCCUUGCUAAUUCAGCCUGUAUACCGCCAUCUUCAGCAAACCCAAUUAUGGAAACAAAGUAAGCGCAAGCACAUCACAUAAAAACGUUAGGUCAAGGUGUAGCCAAUGGGAUGGGAAGAAAUGGGCUACAUUUUCUUAUCAAAGAACAUUAAACGCAAGCCCUUAUGAAACCUUGAGGGACCAAGGAGGAUUUAGUAGUAAAUCAAGAAUAGAGAGCUUGAUUGAACUAGGCCAUGAAGCACGUACACACCGCCCGUCACCCUCCUCAAGUAUUUAAGAAUUCAACCUAGAAUCAACACAUAUGAGAGGAGACAAGUCGUAACAAGGUAAGCAUACUGGAAAGUGUGCUUGGA